AUUCCGGUUGAUCCUGCCGGAGGACAUUGCUAUUGGGAUUCGAUUUAGCCAUGCUAGUCGAGCGAGUUCAGACUCGUGGCGAAUAGCUCAGUAACACGUGGCCAAGCUCCCCUUCAGUCAGCGAUACCCUCGGGAAACUGAGGUUAACAGCUGAUACAAAACGCCAGCUGGAAUGCGGCGUUUCAGAAAGACAUCGCUGAAGGAUGCGGCUGCGGCCGAUUAGGUAGACGGUGGGGUAACGGCCCACCGUGCCAGUAAUCGGUACGGGUGAUGAGAGUCAGAGCCCGGAGACGGAAUCUGAGACAAGAUUCCGGGCCCUACGGGGCGCAGCAGGCGCGAAACCUUUACACUGCACGGAAGUGCGAUAGGGGAAUCCCAAGUGCGAGGGCAUAUUAGCCCUCGCUUUUCUCGACUGUAAGGUGGUCGACGAAUAAGAGCUGGGCAAGACCGGUGCCAGCCGCCGCGGUAAUACCGGCAGCUCAAGUGAUGUCCCAUAUUAUUGGGCCUAAAGCGUCCGUAGCU
rnacentral:rRNA from 1 species